GGACCACAACUCUUUUAUGACCACAGAGCUCUCUCUGUCUCUCUCUUUGUGUCUCUGUCUCUGUCUGUCUCUCUUCCUCUGUCUCUGUAUCUCUCAAAGUCUGUCUGUCUUUCUCCAGCUUUCUCUCUUCUUUCCUCUGUUCUAGUCUUAAGCUGUUUCUCUCUGUCUGUCCCCCUCAGUCUCAGUCUGUCUCUCUGUCUUUUUCCCUCUUUCUCUGUCUGUCUGUUUCUCUCUGUUUCUGUCUCUCUCUCUUUCUCACUGUCUGUCUGUCUCUACUCUCUCCCUCUUCCUCCCUCAGUCUUGGUCUCUGUUUCUGUUUCUCUCUCUCUGUCUGUCUCUUUCUCUGUGUCUGUCUGUCUCUCUUUUUCGCUCCCCCUCCCUCCCUCAGUCUCGGUCUCUGUCUCUCUUUCUCUGUCUCAGUCUGUCUCUCUUUCUCUGUGUCUGUCUGUCUCUCCUCGCUCCCCCUUCCUCCCUCAGUCUGGUCUCUGUCUCUCUUUCUCUGUCUCUGUCUGUCUCUCUGUCUCAGUCUGUCUCUCUUUCUCUGUGUCUGUCUGUCUCUCCUCGCUCCCCCUUCCUCCCUCAGCCUCCGUCUCUGUCUCCUCUACCACGCUGGAUGGGCCUGAGGCUAUCUCCUUCGUUCCCAUCGGCGCUGGGACCCAAACGAGGACUCUUUCGGGUGACUCCAUUCGCCACGUCCGGGUCCCUCCAGUCCAGUCCCUCCAAGCCCUGGAGGCUCGGCGUCCUGCGGUUUACUGGCCAGAAGAGAACGCGCGGGGCGGGGCUAAGCGAGCCGAGGCCGCGGCCGCCAGUUGUGUGUGUUUCUGGUCUCGCACGAGAACUGCUCGCCCCUCUGAAUCAGCGCUCGCUGGCCGAACACUUGCUCCAUGACAUAUCCCACCCAAGGGGCAGGGAAGUCGGGUGACCUAAUGCUGCUAGUCAAACGCACAGGAGUCCCUCCCAGCACUACCUAAUGCUUCAACUUCGCCGGUCCGGGGGGAGCUGGCCCCACCCCCCAGCCGGGCAGUCCCCGCUCCCCGCGCCGGAGCCCUCAGCCGGCCGGCCGGGCAGAUCCUCCCGGCCAGAGCUUAAGUGCCUGUUUAUUGUUCAGAUGGCUUCAGUCUGGGCGAGGCCAACAUUUUCCACUUUCCUAAGGGCUGUGGAAGCCUCAGCCCUGAAACCGGGUCACACAUCUGCUAGAGUUUCCUGGGGCGAAGUCGAAAGGGAUUCCAGGGGCUAACGCCUUGCAUUAGGACCCCAAAGCAUUCACCAUAAAAUUAAAGGCAGAAGAAAAAAAAAGAGUAUCACCAUUUUACAAAUAGGGAAACUGAGUCCCAGGGACGUUUGGCAGGGUCAAAAAACUUCAUGGUGGACGCUAGAAUUCUCCCUGGCCAAAAUUCUACUUGUCCUUCUAGACCAGGGGCAUUUAAAUGGGGAUUUGUUUCGAAAUAUUUGGAUAACUGUUUCAAUAGAAUUGGCUUCCUCGGCAAUCUUAUGUGAUUUAUUUUAUGCAUUUAAAAACAUUCUUCUGAGAAGGGCUCCCCUGGCUUCACCGGACACUGUCAAAAGGUUCCCUG
rnacentral:lncRNA from 1 species